rnacentral:rRNA from 1 species
GACGAACGCUGGCGGCGUGCUUAACACAUGCAAGUCGAACGGAAAGGCCCUGCUUUUGUGGGGUGCUCGAGUGGCGAACGGGUGAGUAACACGUGAGUAACCUGCCCUUGACUUUGGGAUAACUUCAGGAAACUGGGGCUAAUACCGGAUAGGAGCUCCUGCUGCAUGGUGGGGGUUGGAAAGUUUCGGCGGUUGGGGAUGGACUCGCGGCUUAUCAGCUUGUUGGUGGGGUAGUGGCUUACCAAGGCUUUGACGGGUAGCCGGCCUGAGAGGGUGACCGGCCACAUUGGGACUGAGAUACGGACCAGAAUCCUACGGGAGGCAGCAGGGGGGAAUAUUGCACAAUGGGCGGAAGCCUGAUGCAGCAACGCCGCGUGCGGGAUGACGGCCUUCGGGUUGUAAACCGCUUUCGCCUGUGACGAAGCGUGAGUGACGGUAAUGGGUAAAGAAGCACCGGCUAACUACGUG